rnacentral:rRNA from 1 species
GAUGAACGCUGGCGGCGUGCCUAAUACAUGCAAGUCGAGCGAACAGACGAGGAGCUUGCUCCUCUGACGUUAGCGGCGGACGGGUGAGUAACACGUGGAUAACCUACCUAUAAGACUGGGAUAACUUCGGGAAACCGGAGCUAAUACCGGAUAAUAUAUUGAACCGCAUGGUUCAAUAGUGAAAGACGGUUUUGCUGUCACUUAUAGAUGGAUCCGCGCCGCAUUAGCUAGUUGGUAAGGUAACGGCUUACCAAGGCAACGAUGCGUAGCCGACCUGAGAGGGUGAUCGGCCACACUGGAACCGAGACACGGUCCAGACUCCUACGGGAGGCAGCCGUAGGGAAUCUUCCCCAAUGGGCGAAAGCCUGAAGGAGCAACGCCGCGGGAGUGAUGAAGGUUUUCGGAUCGUAAAACCCUUUUAUUAGGGAAGAACCAAUGUGUAAGUAACUAUGCACGUCUUGAAGGUACCUAAUCAGAAAGCCACGGCUAACUACGUG